rnacentral:misc_RNA from 1 species
GAUGAAGAACGUAGCGAAAUGCGAUACGUAAUGUGAAUUGCAGAAUUCAGUGAAUCAUCGAAUCUUUGAACGCACAUUGCGCCUGCCAGCACUCUGGCAGGCAUGCCUGUUCGAGCGUCAUUUCAACCAUCAAGCCCUAGGCUUGCGUUGGAGCCCUGCGGCUGCCGCAGGCCCCUAAAAGCAGUGGCGGGCUCGCUAUCACACCGAGUGCAGUAGAUUACUCUUCGCUCAGGGCGUGUGGCGGGUUCCAGCCGUGAAACCCCCUACUUCUCAAGGUUGACCUCGGAUCAGGUAGGAAUACCCGCUGAACUUAAGCAUCCCAAUCAGCGGAGUA